GUCCUUUUGAAUGUCUAACUGUUGAUUUUUAUUAUACAUUUGUAGAAUCAAUAUUUUAUUUUUACUGACAUGCAUCCCGACUGAGAUACUAAUUAUAGAAAAAGAAACUUAAGCAAUUACUUGAAUUUAGUAUGUAGUUCCUGUGUUUCAUCUAUCAUCUAAGGAUUUCAACGGUUUAGUUCAGUAAAAAUUGAGACUCCAGUAGUUAAGAAACCACUUUAAAUGAAAGUAGAUGGCUGAGGGGCACACGUACAUGUACAUGUGUUUACAAAUAUCCUUGACAAUUGCGAGGCGAAAUUAAUGUGUUGCUAAGAAAAAAGCAGUUCAUUCUUCAAAACAUUUCCAUGUAUUUGGUUAUCUCACAUGCAGAAUGUCCAGUCUUGUAUAUACCAUUGCUUUAUAGCUCAUAUUGUGAGAACAGAGAAAAGUCGGGCAGAAGAGGGGCACCUUAUAAUACCCCAUAAAGAUGCAGAAGAAAGUUUGUGUGACUGUAUGCUACACCGGUAUUGAGUUUAUUUCAUGAUUUUUAGACCUCUAAUAAACGUAAACUUUUCAUUAUAAUACAACAUAAAGCACACUACAGAUUAUUUACAUUUAAAAUUGUAAACAAAGGGCGGCCAUUUUGAACUUAGAGUCGCAGGGACGCUAUUUAAAAAAAAUCCUAUGAUAUAGAAAAACGAUGCAGAAAUUUAACACAUGCAUGAUUUUUUAAAUUCAGACGUUUGUGAAACAAUUUACACACAAAAUAAAUUAUAUAUCUAUAAAAGUAUGUUUUCCCAUAAAUCCUCUCCUGAUCGCUGAUUGGUUGUAAUUUUCGGCGGGCAAAAUUGAUUGUUGUUUGUGAGAGAAAACCUAGCGUGACUCAAAUGGAACCAUGUCAUGUUUUGAUUGAAUGGAAGAUCCAAAGAUUUUUCUGAGAAUUGGAGACGUCUACUGUUGUUGGGCAUCAUUCAGGUAUGUCUUUUAGAGGGUAUUGAGUAAAAAUUUCUGGAACUUUUUAAAACAAUCUUCCAUUAUGCAUCCUCACUGAAUAUUUUAGUAUGAGUCUGUCCAUAGCCAAUACUGGCAAUUGCCGUCUCAUUUAAACGAUUUUUGACGGGAUAUCAUGUUAUCUCUGACUAUACAAAUUUCAUUUUCUCAUAAAAGAGCAAUGAUAUUUAAUAUUCAUUUCAUAAUCACAACAGACCACAUCAAAACAUGCUUGAUAUUCACCUUUUAGAAUUUUGAAUACAAAAAAAAAAUAUUAAAAAAUAUCCUGUCCCGAUUCGGAAACAGGACGUUAUCUAACCUAUUCUUUCUCUCUAUAUAUCAUUGUAGGUAUUUCCGGUGUUGACUUGAAACGUUUUUAUUCACGAUGUUGCGGAUUCAUCAUUGCAUUUGCAUGGGGUAGUGCAUAUGUUGUGUGUGGCCUUCUAAACGAUAAAUCUAUGGAUUAAAGGAUGAACAGGUCGAUGCAGGAAUAUUCAUUCUAAUGAUAAGGAAAUACGAAAUGCAAGGACAACCUCCAAGCAUGCAGUAUGCCUUAGAUCUAUACAAUGGUGGAAUGUUCCAAACUAGAUGAGCAGAAGAUGCAUUCCAUGACUGACUCCCCAUAUGAUAUGAAAGAGAGCCCAUGAGAAUGGAACCAACUUUCAGUGUUACAAUGGAUGAACACUCCUCCUGUCACAAGUCCAUCUUGAUUCAGUAAAGUGGUAGUCUAUUUAUCUAGGAAGCAACCAGACGGAUCUGGACAAGGACCAUAUUGACUCAAGUUUUGGUGUCAGAAGACCAUUUUGAUUAAACAUGUUAAAAGCACCACAGAAGUAAGAAGCUAGGAUACCAGUUUUAUAAACUAAAGAGUCGAAAGGCCCAGCUGGAGUUUACUCAGGAGACCUAACAAGUGUAUACAGCUGGUUUGUAAUGGGAAACAGUUUUUUGUAAACAACAGAAAUGUUCUGUGUAUUUGGUGACGGAAUUCAUUUUUUCUUCACUUUUUGACUGUUGUGUAAUAAUAAUAAUGUCCUUUAUUUAUACAGGAGAACACAAUUAGGUUUAGAACUAGCUUAUAUUGUGGUCCUCAAAGCAUAUAUUCAGACAGCAGUAUUAUGCUAAUACAAUAUAAAUUAGACAGUGAUAAGUCUAUUUCAAAUAUAAAAGUUUGAGAUAUUAAUCUUCAGUUAGUAAGAAUGUUGGACACACAAUAUCUAGUUAUGGGUGUAUGCAUGGGAAUUUCUGACAGUUCGUAUUCCAUCUCUGACAGUGUGUAUUGACACACAACCCUGGUUAACUUCCUGAAUAAUUGAGUUCUAAUUAGACAUAGAUUUACUAAUAAUAACAGUGUAUACCUCCUUUUCCCGCCUAUGCCGAAAAUGUUGAAAUCUUAUCAGAUUUGGAAAAUCUUAUAUAUUCUUGUAUCCUGCUACCUAUCUAGUGAAUAUUGAAAUAAUCCCCCAUCCCCUUUAAUGGCAUUUUAUGUUGGCAGAAAACAAAACAUUUAAAUAAGUUAACAUUAAUAACAAUGAAACAAAUAUCUAUAUAAAGUUAAAAAUAAUUGAAAAAAUGACAACACAAUUAUUCUAGAUAUUUGAGUAAAUCCUCGAUAUUACUUUCUAUUAACUUACAAUCCCCAAUAUUACUUUCUAUUAACUUACAAUCCUCGAUAUUACUUCCCAUUAACUUACAAUCCCCAAUAUUACUUUCUAUUAACUUACAAUCCCCGAUAUUACUUUCUAUUAACUUACAAUCCUCGAUAUUACUUCCUAUUAACUUACAAAUCCUCGAUAUUACUUUCUAUUAACUUACAAUCCUCGAUAUUACUUCCUAUUAACUUACAAUCCCCUUGGGAUCUGUAACCAUGCCGUCUUUUCCAUCGUGUAGCACCAUACACUGAGCCCAGCAAUAUAGCAGUUCUCAGUUGGCUUUUUGAGGAUAUCCUACUACCAGAGAAUUUGGAGGAUGACCGAGAACGACCAGAAAAGCGGAACCAUCUUCCUCCACCUCUGCCCCUUCUGGCAUCAAUCAAUGCUAUCACUGGUGAAAAAAAAUCAAUGACAAAAAGGUAUUAUUGAGAUGUGAAAGUUAAUGGAGAGAGAAAAAAAAACAAAUAAAAGGACAUACAGACUGAUAGUAAUCAGAUGUAAAGCUAAUGCAACGUGUAGCGGUCACCCUGCCAAGUACUGAUCACGCUCGCUGUUGCUUAACUAAAUGCAUGAUCAAGAGAGAGACUCUACCACAUCACUAGAAAAGUUAGCUCUCUAGCGAGGCAGUAUAAGUUCCCUCUUAUACUGUCCGCUACACUAAUCUUAUAGGAAACUGAUCAAUGAAAACCAAAUAUCUGAAGCAUAGAUGACUAUAUAAUAUUGCAUAUAAGGUAACUGUAGUCAGUGGUUUGAAAAUGAUGAGUUAUUAUGCAUUAAAAUGCAUAUAAUCAUUUUUGAUUAUUAUUUUAUGAACGAAAAAUGUAUAGUUAAUCAGAACAAAUCUUAAAAUAUCAUAAUUUUCAAAAUAUAUUUUAGUGUCGAUAGAACUAUUGCCCAUCAGGAUAUUACACUUAUCCAGGUUGGGAACACUUCCCCUAUAGCGAGAUGUUCCCGCUAAAACGCGAUUAUCCCGAGAAAUAAACAUUACCAUAAACAGGUGUUUUGGCGUCUUUAUUGAAUAUAAUGGCAAAUUCAGUGCAACGCUAAAUAAGUUCGACACAUACUCAACAUGACACGAAUUGUUUCUAUGAAAUUGACAACAUAGUCAAGAAAUUGCAUAUCAAAGUUGCUGUGUAAGAAGGAAGCAGUCUGAAAUCCAACUGAAAACUAGCUUGAUAAAUAAUAUACCGUAUAACAUGGUUGAUCUUAAAAUGUUAUACAUUUUCCCCAGACCACAUUCCUACCAGUAAAAUGUUUUGUAAUGUCACGGGUUCACAACAAGAACAUGAGAAAUUCUGAAAAUAGAUGCGAUUAUAAGUAUUAUUUACCGAGAAGAGAGUGCGAUGAUAUGGGAGGGCAAUGGUCCUGGAUCUACGUAGUCCAGCUGGGAAAACAGAUAGCAAGAGACUGAACGCAACCAUGGAUUGGUGUCUUGAAAUGUUGUUAUGGAAUUAUACAGGUAUAGCAUUUUUUCUUAUUCAUAUCUUGAUGAACUCUGAAUGUCUGAUAUUUGGAAUCUUGAGAGGGACGUUAAAUACAAUCAUUCAAUCAAUCUAAUAUUUGGGAAAAUAAAGAGGGGAAAAAUAAUGCUGCCUACAUGUACUUUAUCAGGGAGACCCGGGUUUGAUACUCGUACCCGGCGCCGCGUCCAACCCACAGGCAUCGCUUGGGGUCGAAUUUACUAUUAAAGAGUAAUAGUAAAAUUCGACCCCAAGCGACGCAAUUGCCAGUGGUCCAACCUAAACUAUUCUUUACCCUGAGAAAAAUUUGUUUUUUGAGUAGUUAGCCAUCCGGGCCUCUGUAUCUGGACUAGUUACUAAACCAAAGAGAAAUUCACUGACCUAAAUCAUACACAAAUAAUUACUUUCUUCAGUUUUGAGAAGAACUUUGAAGAAAGAGAGAGAGAGAGAUAGUUAGUUCAAAAGUACAUUAAACCAGUUACAUGAAUACUGUAGAUUUAAUCUGUAAUAGAACCAGUGCCUUCAUUGAAUCUGAUGACAAUCAUAUAAAACUGUGGAAUGCCCUUCCAGAACAUGUAAGGGACUGUAGAACACUGUGUGCAUUCAAGAAGUCACUGAAAACACAUUUUUUCCAUCAAGUUUUCCAGGACACGUUUCUAACAUUUCAGUCAUUCGUGUAGGUUAGAUUCUGUGAAAAACUGUGAAAACUAAAGACUGUGUGUCUUAGCUUUCGAGUACCAUUUUGUGAUGUUUUAUAAAAAAAGAAAAAGAAAAGGGAAUUGUAUGUUUUAAUGUAUUAUACCUGAGACAUUAUAUGCUGUGCGUGCGUGUGUGUAUUUCAUUAUUAUUAUUAUUUUAAUACGCCCUGAAACUGAUGUUUAUUCAUAUCUAGCAUAUUUAUGGUAUCUUGUGUUUUCAUGUUUUUAUGUAAAAUGAGGAUAGGUACAGCUUUUAAUGUUUUAUUUAUUUUCUAUGUAUUAUGUGUAUAACAUUCUCUUGUAAGGUAUAUAUGCAUUGUAAAGCACCUUUGAGCGUACAUAGUGUAUGAAAAGGGUGCUAUAUAAAUAUGGUAUUAUUAUUAUUAUUAUAUACUCCAUUUUAGUAGAUGGUAAUGUAAAACUUAUUUGGUACCAAUUUUGAUGCACCAGAUGCGCAUUUCGACAAAUAAUGUCUCUUCAGUGAUGCUCAACUGAAAUCUUUGAAAUCCGAAAUAACUAUGAAGUUUUAAAGCUAAAUAUAGCCAAAAACAGCGUGCCAAAAAAGUGGAGCCAAAUUCGUCCAAGGAUAAGAGCUAUGCAUGAGGGAGAUAAUCCUUAAUUUUGAAAUGAAUUUCUAAAUUUUGUAACAGCAAUUAAAUAUACAUCCGUAUUUUCAAGCUAGUAACGAAGUACUUAGCUACUGGGCUGUAGAGACCCUCGGGGACUAACAGUCCACCAGCAGAGGCCUCGACCCAGGGGUCAUAAUGUAAAUCUUAUACGGUACCAAUUUUGAUGCACCAGAUGCGCAUUUCGACAAACAAUGUCUCUUCAGUGAUGCUCAACCGAAAUGUUUGAAAUCCGAAAUAACUAUGAAGUUUUAGAGCUAAAUAUAGCCAAAAACAGCGUGCCAAAAAAGUGGAGCCAAAUUCGUCCAAGGAUAAGAGCUAUGCAUGAGGGAGAUAAUCCUUAAUUUUGAAAUGAAUUUCUAAAUUUUGUAACAGCAAUUAAAAAUACAUCCCUAUAAUUAUAUAAUUAAUAUUCUAUACUAAUAUAACUGAUAGGCAGUAAUAUUGACAGAAAGCACGGAUCUGACGGUCUUGUAUAGGUAAUAUUUUUACAAGUCGAACCCCAAUUUCACUGGACUUGAUCUUCGGGCCAGGACAUAUUCAAGGAUGCAAGGUGAAGAUAACGAACAGUGAUCAAUCUCAUAACUCCUACAAGCAAUGCAAAAUAGAUAGUUGGGCAAACACGGACCCCUGGACACACCAGAGUUGGGAUCAGGUGCCUAGGAGGAGUAAGCAUCCCCUGUUGACCGGUCACACCCGCCGUGAGCCCCAUAUCCUGAUCAGGUAAACGGAGUUAUCCGCAGUCAAAAUCAGUGUGCCAAGAACGGCUUAACAAUCGGUAUGAAACACGUCAGACAGCAUUUGACCCAAUGCGAGAUUGUAUUGACGAACUAGAUCGUUAUAACGACCAUAGAAUUUGCGAAAUGCUGACUUCAAUCGAGACUGUUGAAAACCCUGUACCAUCAACUUGUUUGUCAGUAGCUUACCUCGAUUUAAAAACUGACUAUACCCUGAACAAGCUCUUGCAUAUCGAAUCAGUUGAGAUAUAUAAACACCAUAUGCAGGUGAUAAUGGAAUAUUGCUACAUAAAUGUGGGAAGUUGACGAUGGAGAAGCUGAAAUCAUCCCGUUUGUCAUACAGUUGAGUUGUUAGUUUGCCGUUAAUGUCUACUUUCAAUAAAAUAUCUAAGUAUGAAGCAGAAGUGGACGACUCUGUGGUGUCCUUUAUUUCGAGCUCACAGGGAUAUAUCAAAUCGACAUAUGAAUGAAAGCUAUCAUUGUUAAUAGACAAAACGUCAUCGAUAUAUCUAAAAGUCGAAUUGAAGGUCACAGCGAGAGAUUUUUUCUUCUCACGUAGAAGUUUUUGAAUAAAUUCUGCUUCAUAUGAAUAUAAAAACAGGCCAGCUAACAAAGCUGCACAAUUCGUGCCCAUGGGAAUUCCAACAGACUGUUGGAAGACCUGAUCACCAAAGACCACGAAGAUAUUGUCAAUGAGGAACUGUAGCAUAUUUUUUAUUUCAACUUCAGAGUACUUGUGCGUGGAAUCAGAGUGGUGUUUAACAAAGUUCGGGCACUGUUGGGAACCCAGAAUCCUAUCUAAGUACAUAUUGGACAAAUACUUACUGGCAACAGAGUGCACGUGUAACGGAUUGUCCGUGCUUUGAGAACACGACAUACUGGGAGGAUGACUGCGAGAGUUAUUGCAUUUCUCAGUUCGACGAACAGAGCUCAAUCAAAGAGGGGGACUUAGCGUUUUCGUCUUUUGAUGACCUUUUGAACGUGGGAAAAAAAGGUGUCACCAUGAUUCCUAGCAUAUAGAUGGGUGCAAAUACGAAACUAAGACACGUGGUCAGUUGCUGAAGAAAUUCCGGUGAAAACAUGCAGGGUCCAACAAAAGGUCUGUAGCUGUGAGGGAAGGUGGAUGGGCCCAUAUGAGAGACUGAAGGUGACCCUGCCAUGUCUAUAGGCCUAAAAUAUAACUACAGCACGCAGAGCCUCGAUGUGACCAUCAUGGAGUGUCGUGACCUUCCAGUAGUGGAUGGAAAGAAACAACACUCAAACCCGUAUGUGAAAUCCUACGUUGUCGUUGCUGAAAUCAAAUAUGGCAAAAGGAAAACGAGAGUCCUGCCUGCCACAACUAACCCGAGAUUCUAUGAGUUGUUUCGGUAUUAUAUAUCAAAAGCAGACAUGGGCGGUUCGGCGUUGUUGGUGACUGUAUGGCACUACAAUAAAUACGGAAGGAACUUCAGUAUCGGCGAAGUCACAAUCCCAUUGGCUGAUUCCCGCUGCGGCGAAUUGUGUUCGAAAUGGUAUAAGAUUGAACAAAAAGAUACGCACCAUACUUGUUUCAUGAUAUGACUGAUGCAUGAACCAAUUGUUUUGAAUUUGUACAUUUAUAAGAUUUUCUUUCAUUGUUACAAUUUUCAGUCAUAGCAUAUAUAAUUUAAAUGUAAAUAAUUAUGCUCUAAUUUUUAUAUUCAUUUGGAUAAAGAUAUAGAUAAUACGAUAUAAAAUAAAAUGAAACAAAAAAGUAUAUAAAAUACGCA